rnacentral:lncRNA from 1 species
CUGGGGCGCCACACAGCUGCCCUGCAGCCCACGGCCGCCAGUCCCUCUCCCAUGACCUCGGCCCAUCCGCCCACCGCUUGUGCCUCUGUUUCCCUACGAGACGGGGCAGCCUCAAAAUCCCACCCUAGAAGUACUUCAGAGGGCCACUUAAACAGACAACCGAAUCCCGGCUGCCUCCUGGGGCUGAGACAGAGCCUUCGAGAGGAGUGUGCAUUUGGGGACAGACAGAAGCUGAGUGAUCCACCCCAACAGCAGCCAGCAGACAGACUGAGACUUGGAAACCAGGGGCGAAGCAGAGCUCUAGUGCAAAAUCCAGUGCGAUUUUACAGCUUUCACAAACUGCAGCUGAAUAUUAAGCAUUUUUAAUGGACACAGAUUUAACUUAGAAUCCAGCUCAGGGAGCAAGAGUUUAAUUGCCUCCGUCUGUGGUUUUUCUCCCAUCAGGGGAAAAACAGUCUGGCUUCCGAACCUCACAAACAACCCCAUCAAAUUAAACGCUGCUCACCGGAGGGUGGAGAGGACAGCGGGAGGUCAGCCAGCCUCAUUUAUCCGCUGCUCUUCACGUCUCUGGGGCUCUCACGUGACACGGGACAGAGGAACCGUUCUGACCAAGCGCUCUGAUGCCCCCAAGUCACCCACUGGUGGGGGUUCAUGGAGAGGGGCCGGGCUGAAGCCCCCGUCCCAGCCCCAGGUCCCGCUCAGUCCUCAGGCAGGGUCCCGUGUUCUCUUCCUUUGUGAGUCCACAGGGGACAGGCAUGGCUGAGGGUCACACGGGUCCACAGCACCCGCCCCAUCCCCUCAGCCCUCCCCUCAGCCCUCCCCUCCGCCGAGGUAGGCUGUGAGGUCUCGGCCCGUGUUCUUCACGUACAGGGACUGCUUUGUCCCCAGGCCAAGGCCCAGGCCACAGGGCCUCUCCCGAGCCAACACAAAGCUUCUAACUUCACUGGUUCCAAAGGAGAAACCGCCAGGCCUGCUCAGCGCAUGCCGCCUUCGUCACUUUCUUAUUUCAGCUACUGCUUUUGUUUCUCUUCCAUUCGCCAAUAUAUUCUCAUUUGUGCCAAAAGGAAAAACAAACCAAACAUCCAGUACAGUGAGAAUGUGGGCUCUCAUCCAGGGAAGUCGGUACCACUCAGCAGAAUGAGACUAGGCAGGCUGUAUCACUCCUUCGAUGCCGACCACGAAUUCAAGGUGCUCAGUCCACAGGGACCAGGGCAAUGCAAAUAACAAACAGGAGGACGGAGUCGUGGACUGUGAGGUAGACUCUAGGUUUAUCCUACCUGGCGCCAUUUUUCCCUGGUGAGUAGGAAUAAAGGGUCAAAGUGAGAGAUCCGAAAGACCUUUCUGAAUAUGGAUGGGAGUACUGAGUACAGGCUAGACUAUCUCUCUCUACCUCUCGGUGGUGUUUAGAAAGGGAUCCCUGCCCUCCCUCGGAGAAUAAAACAGAUGGCCUCGGCUGGGCGUGGUGGUGCCCUCUUGUAAUCACACUUCCGGAGGCUGAGGUAAGAGGGUCUCAAGUUUGAGCCCAGCCUGGGUAAUUUAGGAACACCCUGUCUGAAAAUGUUUAAAAACAUUAGAGAUAAAGCUCCACGCAAAGCCCCUGGGUCCAAUCUGGGUGCCACCAAAAAAAAAAAAAAAAAAAAAAAAGAACUCUAAGAUCUCACAUUACCAAAAUAAAUGUUGAAUAUUUUCAUUAUGGUGAACAAUACAGGACCACUGUUCUGGCUUUGAUGUGCAACAAUCCAGUUUGUAUUUCGUGAUGUCUUACCAAAACGGAAGUAAAAGAAACACACAUCUAAAAAACGGGGAAGUCCUUCAUGGUGCUGCUCUUGGUUUCUGUUGAAAAUAUCAGUUACACACAUCAAACUAACUGAGAAACACUGGGGCACUGAAGGUUUGAACUCAAAAGCACUGGGUUCAUUAUAUUAUAUAAGAAUCCUUGAAAGCACCGUUUCAAUUUCUGCACUGUAAGUGCUAACUACCUAAGGAAAGUAAGUGCAAAGAUUAUUAAAAAUUAAAUUCGCUGAGCAAUCCUUGAAGACCAAAGCCUUAAUUCUCCAAUGAUAAUCACAUGAUCAUAAAUAUCCAACUGACAUUAUCGAGGAGUGACAAACUAUAAAAGGAUUAAUUAAUGUGCUCAAUCUACACAUU